GGAUUGUGGCUCAGCGGUAGAGCGCUCGCCUACCAUGUGCAGGACCUAGGUUCGAUUCUCAGCACCA
rnacentral:tRNA from 1 species